UGGGGAAUUUUGGACAAUGGGCGAAAGCCUGAUCCAGCAAUGCCGCGUGUGUGAAGAAGGCCUUCGGGUUGUAAAGCACUUUUGUCCGGAAAGAAAUCCUUGGCUCUAAUACAGUCGGGGGAUGACGGUACCGGAAGAAUAAGCACCGGCUAACUACGUGCCAGCAGCCGCGGUAAUACGUAGGGUGCAAGCGUUAAUCGGAAUUACUGGGCGUAAAGCGUGCGCAGGCGGUUUGCUAAGACCGAUGUGAAAUCCCCGGGCUCAACCUGGGAACUGCAUUGGUGACUGGCAGGCUAGAGUAUGGCAGAGGGGGGUAGAAUCCCACGUGUAGCAGUGAAAUGCGUAGAGAUGUGGAGGAAUACCGAUGGCGAAGGCAGCCCCCUGGGCCAAUACUGACGCUCAUGCACGAAAGCGUGGGGAGCAAACAGGAUUAGAUACCCUGGUAGUCCACGCCCUAAACGAUGUCAACUAGUUGUUGGGGAUUCAUUUCCUUAGUAACGUAGCUAACGCGUGAAGUUGACCGCCUGGGGAGUACGGUCGCAAGAUUAAAACUUAAAGGAAUUGACGGGGUCAUAGCUGUUUCCU
rnacentral:rRNA from 1 species